UGCUUUUGUAAUAUGUAUCUAGUAAUCAAUAAGUAGUAAAAUUUGUUGAUCUAUGAACUUAUAUCUCAGUGUUUAAUAAGGCUUGUUUUAUGUCUUGUAUUUUGACUAGUAUAUCCUUCUGAAGCUCACAGUUCUUCAAUUUGAUAUAAGAAGGUGCUUUUUCAUAUCCUGAAGACGAUGUAGUGUGUUGGAUUUUAUCUAGUUUUUUCUGCAAAUCAUCCAAGUUUUUUCGCAGUUUUUUCCUUUUACUUGGAUAAAGCUUUUUUGGAACAAGCAGUAUAGUGUCUGAUGAUAUCCGAGAUAAAAUAAAGGUUUGAUUUCUCAUCAAAUCAAUAGUAUCUUCUUGGCUUAUCUACAAGAAUGUUAAAAAUUCAUAAGCUUAUGAAAAUGUUUUACAUACGCUUUUCAACUUAAGAUUAGUUGAUUGUUCAAUAGCAUCGUAAAAGUAUUUUAAUGGUUCCAAGGACGUUGAGAUGUAAACAGUAUGCUCCCUUGAUGGACUCUUAUUUAGAGGAGAUUCCAGUUUCCUCAAUUGAAUCAAUACAUCAUAUGCGUUUUGGACAACCACUUCUGCCUGGUUGUCAUGAACUAAUAGACAUUCUUGUUGUGAUGUUGGAAAGCUUAAAAAUUCACUGUUUUUACGUUCAGGGAUUAUUUUGCUGUGUAGCAUAACCUAGUUUGUUAAUACAUUUAUAACGUCUUUGUCACAUACGCCUGAAAUACAAGGUACGAUAGGGUGAAUGAGCUUCAAAAAAAUAUGCAAGAUAUCAGAAAAAACUCGAUAGACUUCAUAUGCAGAGGAUUUACUAUCUUUCACGUCAAACCUAGUUAGCUCUACGUAAACAGACGAAAGAUCGUUCAACAGAAAGUUUUUCAUGAUAUCAGCAGCGUUAAAAAAUUUUCGCUGCUCAAAAGACUCUUUCACACCCUCAACAGCAUGGUGCAGUUUUGAAUACGUUGCCAUUUUAAGUAAUGAAAUUCUUUGACGUUGUGAAUCAGUUAGCUUUAAAGGAUUCUCUUUGUCUUUAUACUGAUUAAAGUAGCGAGCGAGAUUCCAUAAUUUUGAAACAAAACGAUGGGCAUCUGAAAAUGAGUUCAUAUCCAAGAGUAUUCUUUGUUCAUGGUGAAGACAUAAAAAAAGCCCAUAACGGAAAAUAUCGAUCCCCUGAGCAGGAAUACCAUUAGGAAAAGCUUUCUCCAUUUGUUUUGAGGAUUUAUGUACUUCAGAAAUAGGAAGAUUUCCUUCAAGCAAUGCUUUUUUCAUGUUCUCUAAAGUAACACCAUUUAUAAUGUCCAUAGGAUCUAUAACAUUACCUAAUGAUUUUGACAUUUUACGCCCUUCAGAAUCUCGAACGAGAGGGUGUAAAAUAAUCUCUUUAAAUGGCAGUUCAUUGGAAAAAUAUUUGCAUAACAAUGCCAUCCUAGCAAUCCAAAAAAACAGUAUAUCUUGCCCACUUUCAAUGAAUGGGAGAGGCUGAAUAUCUUUACUUUUAGGCCAACCGAAGGCUGAUAAAGGAAGCAAUGCUGAAGAAAACCAAGUAUCUAAGACAUCUGAAUCUUGGGAAACGGAUUUCCCCACCGACAAUUGAAGUGCUUUCUCAUAAUUCGGAGCAGCAAUCCACUUGUCUUCUUCAAGUAUUUUCCAAACGGGAAUUUGAUGUCCCCACCAUAUUUGGCGAGAAAUGCACCAAUCGCCCAUUUUUUUAAACCAUGAAUCCCAUUCUUUUCUUGCUAAGGAAGGAACGAGUUUGAGUUUGUUGCUUGACUUUAAUACUUCUUUCUUCAAAGAGUCCACAGAAAGGUACCAUUGGGGAACCAUGACUGGCUCUAUAACAUCCCCUGUACGAGAACAUACUGAUAAUAUAAGUGAAUGUGGAACCUGCUCAACCAGUCUGUUUCUUUGCUGCAAAAGACGAACAAUUUUGGAGCGAGCUUUGAGUCUAUUCAUUCCAUUCACUUCUUUUGAGCAGUUAAUUAAAUUUCCUGAUUUAUCCAUAAUAGACACACAAUCAAUAUUGUGUCGCUUAGCAAUUUCAUAAUCAACAAUACUAUGCAUCGGAGUAAUUUUUAAAACGCCAGUUCCAAAAUGUCUGUCUACAGCAUUGUCACAUAUUACUGGAAUAAGAAGGUCAUCUAUCAAAGGAUGUUUAACAAACCUUCCAACAUAUUUUUUGUAUCUCUCAUCGUGCGGAGAGACGGCAAUAGCUCGAUCUCCAAAUAUCGUUUCCGGUCUAGUUGUUGAAACAUUUAAUUGUUCAUUAUCGGAUCCUUCUAGUUGAUACGAGAUUUCGUAGAGCCAUCCAAAUUCCACAGGUGUAUUAUCAACAUAUUUCGUAACCGGCUUAUUAAUCUGCUGGCUUUCGACCUCAAUGUCGGAUACUGCGCUUUCAAGUUUAGGGCACCAAUUAACAAAUCUAUUAGCUCUAUAGAUUAGCCCGGCAUUGAACAGACUUAUGAAAGCUUCGUUGACAGCCUCUGAUCGGUUUUGAUCCAUAGUAUAAAAAAUGUUGUCCCAAUCAAAAAUUGCUUCGAAAGAUUUCUAUUAUUAGAUGAAUUUUGUAAGUAGG
rnacentral:lncRNA from 1 species